UCCUUUUCCUCACUUUUGACAUGGGGACACGCCCGACCAAAUCCCACCCCAUGCGGUCACCUUCCAAAUCUCGCCUCAGCUCCGUCGGAAUCAAAUCCCAUGCGAUCUCCUCGCCGAUCUAUUGCCGCCCGAGCUCACGUCCUCGCCCCUAUAAAGCCCCUUGCAUCGCUGCUCGAUGCCGCCCCGAAUCCCCCUCGCAAAAACGCUCUCACUCUCGAUAUUGCUCGUCGGAGCUCCACUCUCGCGCCAAUGUCCUUGAUCUCGCCCCACUCCCUCUGGCUCCCCGACCCCCCUCGUCUCCACCAAACUUCCCGCCUCGCUCCGCCUCAUCGUAUGGUGUCGUUGCCCUCGUCGGAUGACCACUGGAGCAGCCAGGACGACCGUCGCUCGAAGCACCCUCGUCGAAGACACGACGAAGAUUGCCCCUGCCCUGUAGGUUUUCUCUACCGAAGUGUGAGGUCUACGUCCUAUGCUCGGUGUUGCCCUUUGGAGUUGGAUGGCCUCAGCUACCUUCAGGCUUCCGCAGGAUUAGGAUAGCGCUAUCUCAUGAGUUGGAUUUUAGCCAAGUUAUUUUUGUAAUAGUUACUCUAUAUGAGAUUGCGACUAAUAAAUCAUGUGUGAAUGAACUCUGUUAUAUUCACUGAUGUAUUGUGUGUGCUAGCA